UGUCCCCUGCGGUGUUCGUCAGGCUCAUAAUUCUUUGGACCCAUAAGCUACGGCUUAGGUUGCGACCCUCGAUGUUACUGUUGUGCGCGUCCCCAACGUAUUUAUCUGGCGGAUGUACCUGAUGUAACUGGGAAGCAGCCCUCUUGAACCCAGGUUCAAGAUGCUGAGUCAACGGCACAGGCGGGGGGCUC
rnacentral:other from 1 species